AAAAACGGAUGCAGUGGGCUCGUGCCCAUCG
rnacentral:sRNA from 1 species